UACAGAGGGUGCGAGCGUUUGUUCGGAAUUAUUGGGCGUAAAGGGCGCGUAGGCGGUGCGGUAAGUCACCUGUGAAAUCUCCUGGCUCAACUGGGAGCUUGCAGGCGAAACUGCCGUGCUGGAGUGUGGGAGAGGUGCGUGGAAUUCCUGGUGUAGCGGUGAAAUGCGUAGAUAUCAGGAGGAACACCUGUGGCGAAAGCGGCGCACUGGACCACAACUGACGCUGAGGCGCGAAAGCUAGGGGGAGCAAACAGG
rnacentral:rRNA from 1 species